rnacentral:rRNA from 1 species
GAGAUGGACUGGUGCCUUCGGGAACUGUGAGACAGGUGCUGCAUGGCUGUCGUCAGCUCGUGUUGUGAAAUGUUGGGUUAAGUCCCGCAACGAGCGCAACCCUUAUCCUUUGUUGCCAGCGGUUAGGUCGGGAACUCAAAGGAGACUGCCAGUGAUAAACUGGAGGAAGGUGGGGAUGACGUCAAGUCAUCAUGGCCCUUACGACCAGGGCUACACACGUGCUACAAUGGCGCAUACAAAGAGAAGCGA